rnacentral:rRNA from 1 species
GGGUAAUUUUCCGCAAUGGGCGAAAGCCUGACGGAGCAACGCCGCGUGAGGGAGGAAGGCCUGUGGGUUGUAAACCUCUUUUCUCAGGGAAGAAGUUCUGACGGUACCUGAGGAAUCAGCAUCGGCUAACUCCGUGCCAGCAGCCGCGGUAAGACGGAGGAUGCAAGCGUUAUCCGGAAUUAUUGGGCGUAAAGCGUCCGUAGGCGGUUCAGAAAGUCUGCUGUUAAAGCUCACAGCUCAACUGUGAAUCGGCAGUGGAAACUUCUGGACUAGAGAGUGGUAGGGGUAGAGGGAAUUCCUAGUGUAGCGGUGAAAUGCGUAGAUAUUAGGAAGAACACCAGUGGCGAAGGCGCUCUACUGGGCCAUUACUGACGCUGAUGGACGAAAGCUAGGGGAGCGAAAGGGAUUAGAUACCCCUGUAGUCCUAGCUGUAAACGAUGGACACUAGGUGUUGGCCGUAUCGACCCGGUCAGUAUCGAAGCAAACGCGUUAAGUGUCCC